CGUCCAGACUCCUACGGGAGGCAGCAGUGAGGAAUAUUGGUCAAUGGGCGAGAGCCUGAACCAGCCAAGUCGCGUGAGGGAAGACGGUCCUAUGGAUUGUAAACCUCUUUUGCCGGGGAGCAAAAAGCGGUACGUGUACCGCAUCGAGAGUACCCGGAGAAAAAGCAUCGGCUAACUCCGUGCCAGCAGCCGCGGUAAUACGGAGGAUGCGAGCGUUAUCCGGAUUUAUUGGGUUUAAAGGGUGCGCAGGCGGCGAGUUAAGUCAGCGGUAAAAUUGCGGGUCUCAACCUCUUCCCGCCGUUGAAACUGCGUUUCUUGAGUGGGCGAGAAGUACGCGGAAUGCGUGGUGUAGCGGUGAAAUGCAUAGAUAUCACGCAGAACUCCGAUUGCGAAGGCAGCAUACCGGCGCCCAACUGACGCUGAAGCACGAAAGCGUGGGUAUCGAACAGGAUUAGAUACCCCGGUA
rnacentral:rRNA from 1 species